AGGCGAUGCAAACUCAGGUUUCUGAGUCUCUUUCCAUCCUGAGGAGAGGAUGAUUUCCAAGGCGGGCAGGAGGACAGGCAAGUGAGGCUGGCGCGAGGCUGCCAACAGAGUCAGGUUGAGAGUGGAUUUAAGGCAAGCUUUGACACAAGGAGAUGAGGUAAGGAUGCAACAAGCAAUAGCUAAAAAACAAGGAAUUGUGGCUGUGUUGUUACCAUAGGUAGCUAAUGGACUAACGAAGGAGAGAUGACCACGCCGAGCUUAAAUGCAGCCAUGCUGAUUGUCACUGAAUGAGGAACAGAUGCCUUGUUGGGACCUGUCUACUUUUCCUAAGCACACAGAUUACUUCUGAACAUGCUGGGGAUCUCUCCACUAAAUCAGCUCCUCUCUGGCACCACCUCUGUAGCAAGACCCUUUACCUACCUAUUCACAAUCAGCUGUCACUCUCCACCUGGCCUCCAUAUUAAGCCAGCCUGAUAUAAUAAUUGUCAACUCUGCUUCAAGUCUGCUCCUUGGAUCCUGCCUGAACCUAACCACUAACAUGUUUUGAUGUGUGUAAACUGACAUUUUUAAAAAUUUUAUGUUUUUGUUCCCUGAUUGAUAAGACUUGGAACAAUUUAUUAACAAUCAAACUUGCAUAUUCUGAUUGCCUGGGGCAGUGAAUGUCAGUUGGUGGCCUG
ensembl:lncRNA